GCAUUUGAUCAUAAAAGGACAAGAGAGAAGAAGUGGUUAUAAGAUGUCAACAUUUGUUUCCAGUUCCCGUCAGAGACAAAGAAACACAAACCCAAGGAUUGAAUCACUUGGUGGUCCAGUAAAAGAAUGCAUUCUCCUCAGCUAUCUGGAGAAGUUCAAGAUUGUCUUUGAUAAAAGAAUAUUUACCAGGUGUCUGAAAAUACCAAGCUGGAGAAUUAGUCUAUGGUGAUUAAAAACUCUCAAAGCAUGUCUUACCAACUGGAGAAUUUUUCCUAUGUCAACCAAAGGGGUGUCCAAGACACACAGAGCCACGGAAUCUCACAGGUGUCUGAGAAUUCCUCCUCCUGGGACUCUCAGAGGAUCCAGAACUGCAGCCCGUCCUCACUUUGCUGUCCCUGUCCCUGUCCACGUAUCUGGUCACGGUGCUGAGGAACCUGCUCAGCAUCCUGGCUGUCAGCUCUGACUCCCCCUUCCACACCCCCAUGUACUUCUUCCUCUCCAACCUGUGCUGGGCUGACAUCGGUUUCACCUCGGCCACGGUUCCCAAGAUGAUUGUGGACAUGCAG
rnacentral:lncRNA from 1 species